rnacentral:tRNA from 1 species
CAAGAUAUAGCUUAAUUAAAGCACCCGGCUUACACCCGGAAGAC